AACGAACGCUGGCGGCGUGCCUAACACAUGCAAGUCGAGCGCGAAAGGGCUUCGGCCCCGGUAGAGCGGCGCACGGGUGAGGAACACGUGAGUAAUCUACCCUUCGGCGGGGGACAACUGCUGGAAACGGCAGCUAAUACCGCGUACAGUCUUGGAAUCGCAGGGUUUCAAGAGCAAAGAGGGCUUCGGCUCUCACCGGAGGAUGAGCUCGCGUCCCAUUAGCUAGUUGGCGGGGUAACGGCCCACCAAGGCUCAGAUGGGUAACUGGUCUGAGAGGAUGAUCAGUCACACUGGAACUGAGACACGGUCCAGACUCCUACGGGAGGCAGCAGUGGGAAUAUUGCGCAAUGGACGAAAGUCUGACGCAGCAACGCCGCGUGGGUGA
rnacentral:rRNA from 1 species